rnacentral:lncRNA from 1 species
CUUCAAAUGACUGAGCCAUUGGACAAAGAAAGCAAUUAUAUUAUCAGAGAUCCAGAGACAGAAGGGACCUUUGAGAUCAUCUGGCCCAACCCCUGUGUUUUAUAACUGAAGAAACAGACUUGCAAGAUAAAGGAGGAGAUAUCAUGGGGAAGACUAAUUCACCAAGCCUCAAUAUUUUUUUGAAAAAUCACUUUGAAAACAUACCUGUUCUUCAUGGGGUCCCUGGCUUUGAACUCUCAACCUAGUUGAAACAUUGAAUGAACUAAAGAUAGACCUGCAAUGGAAGAGUUUGCAUUAGGACACAGAUCAAGGACAGCGGCACAGCAAAUAGCAUCUAACACAACAGUUAUUGAAGAACACAGUCUAUAUUCUCAGUGCACACGGAAGGAGGUAUUCCCCUGUAUCCAGUGGGAGGGAGGAGGAACUAAAGGUUAGUACUGGCUGAGCAAAAACUACGCUCCUGUAUCCUGGCUUCUCUUCCUAGUCCUCUCAGGGACUGCCCGUGUGGCCUCAAGUCAAUCAGGCCACCUUGGGGUGCCUCCACUAAAAGAGAUCAAAAACCGGGGG